rfam:Red clover necrotic mosaic virus (RCNMV) RNA2
CUAUCGUAGUGUGUGCGAUAGCAUUGCGUUAGGGGUUACUUUCGAGAGAUUUGGAGGGGUUGGUCCCUCCGGUGAGAGAAGAAAACUCAUCCCAAACAAAAAACAGGGUUUCUGAUAACCGGUGCGACAAUAUGCCCUUCCAAGGCACUGACCGGCACGGAGAAAAACUAUAAUGCCAUGUCGUAUAACGGCUAGGCACCCC